AACCUGGUUGAUCCUGCCAGUAGUCAUAUGCUUGUCUCAAAGAUUAAGCCAUGCAUNUCUAAGUUCAAACUUAAUUGACAGUGAGACCGCGAAUAGNUCAUUANACCAGCUAUAAUUUAUUGGAUCUUGCACUAUAGUUGGAUAACUGUGGCAANUCUAGAGCUAACACAUGCAACAGAGCUUUCUUGGAUCUUUCGGGAUUCCGAGGAAGGGCAAUUGUUAGUUAAUAACCAAUCAGAGCCGUAAAAAAGUUCUGAUUAUUGGUGACUCUGGACAAUUUUGCCGAUCGUAGGGCCUAGAGCCGACGAUAGAUCCUUCAAGUGUCUGCCCUAUCAACUUUCGAUGGUAGGGUAUCGGCCUACCAUGGUUGUUACGGGUAACGGAGAAUCAGGGUUCGAUUCCGGAGAGGGAGCCUUAGAAACAGCUCCUACUUCCAAGGAGGGCAGCAGGCGCGCAAACUACCCAAUCCCGGCUCGGGGAGGUGGUGACGAAAAAUGUCGGACGAUUCAGCCUUUGGUUUGAUCGAUCGAGAUGGAGAUUGAAAUAAAAACUCUAACGAAAGCAAUUGGAGGGCAAGUCUGGUGCCAGCAGCCGCGGUAAUUCCAGCUCCAAUAGCGUAUAUUAAAGUUGUUGCGGUUAAAACGCUCGUAGUUGAAAUUAGGAUUGCUAAUGUUUUGUCAUAAUUUGAUAAUAUGUUAUGAAUCCUUAUGUUAGUCGNUUUCAGUUCUCUUUAUUGAGUGCUGUGAAUGACUACAAAUUUUACUUUGAAAAAAUUAGAGUGCUCAAAGCAGGCCGUAUGGUCUGGAUGUUGUUGCAUGGGAUAAUAGAAUAGGACCUCUGUUCUAUCUGUUGGUUGAUGAACUUGAGGUAAUGAUUAAGAGGGACAGUCGGGGGCAUUCAUACUACAGCGUUAGAGGUGGAAUUCUCGGAUCGCUGUAUGAUGAACAACUGCGAAAGCAUUUGCCAAGGAUGUUUUCAUUAAUCAAGAACGAAAGUCAGAGGCGCGAAGACGAUCAGAUACCGUCGUAGUUCUGACCGUAAACCAUGUCGACUAACGAUUCGCUCAGUUCCAACUCAUAAUCGGUCUGAGUGAGGAGUUUACGGGAAACCAAAGUUUUUGGAUUCCGGGGGAAGUAUGGUUNCAAAGCUGAAACUUAAAGGAAUUGACGGAAGGGCACCACCAGGAGUGGAGCCUGCGGCUUAAUUUGACUCAACACGGGAAAACUUACCCGGACUGGACACUGGAAUGAUAGACAGAUUGAUGGCUCUUUCUUGAUUCAGUGAUUGGUGGUGCAUGCCCGUUCUUAGUUGGUGGAGCGAUUUGUCUGGUUAAUUCCGAUAACGAACGAGACUCUAGCCUGCUAAAUAGGAUAGUGACUGCUUUCAAUUUAAAUUGGAAUUCAGCGGUCAUUUAUUCUUCUUAGAGGGACUGGUUGGUUCGGCUUAAUAUGUAGAAACACGAAAUAGAGCAAUAACAGGUCUGUGAUGCCCUUAGAUGUCCGGGGCUGCACGCGCGCUACACUGAAGGAAUCACUGGGUAUAAUUUUCCAAGCUCGAGAGAGUUCGGAAAUCCGUGAAACUCCCUCGUGAUAGGGAUUGUGCGAUGUAAUUGCGCACAUGAACGAGGAAUUNCCUUGUAAGCGCGAGUCAUUAGCUCGUGUUGAAUACGUCCCUGCCCUUUGUACACACCGCCCGUCGCUACUACUGAUUGAAUGGUUUAGUGAGGUUAUUGGAUCGAAUUCUGAGUGUUAUUAUUAACACUAUUGAUUUUGAAUAAGAUGAUCGAACUUGGCCAUUUAGAGGAAGUAAAAGUCGUAACAAGGUUUNCCGUAGGUGAACCUGCAGAAGGAUCA
rnacentral:rRNA from 1 species